rnacentral:snRNA from 1 species
UGGCUUGUGGCAGCCAAGCGUUCAU